UCAAUUUAAAAAAGGUCAUACUUUCAAAAGUCCCAACUACUAAUAACAAAACUUGUUUGUAUAAAAUUAAUGCAAGAACAAAUCAAUUCUUAGACUAAAUUAUCUUCGUUAUGAGGGUGUCUUGUCAUUAAAUUGCCUAUAAAGGGUUAAAGGCUUUUAAGCCUUGUCUUCUAAUAUCGAGGAAAAGAAAUGGCUAGGAAAUAUAUUGGAAUAUUUAUGGUGGUUAUGAUAGAGUUGUAUAUCCUUAUUGUGGUUAAAAUACAAGCUGAAAACCUUGCCUCUACCUCUUUCGCUCAUUUAGCUCCUAUCAUGCUUCCUCAUUUCUCUGAACUUGAUAAAGCUCUAGAGCUAGAGCAUCAGGAGCCAGAGCCAAAGUCGGAGCAUCAAGAGCAAAAGCCAACAUUGCAUAGUUGCAUUAAAAAAGAAUAUGAAGAUUGUAAGAAAAGCAAAAAGCUAAUUGGUGUACACAAUUUUUCCUACGGUCAUUGUCUCUUUAAUGGUUUUAUUGAUUGCCAACACCGUUUUGAGCCGUCAACUGUUAUUAUAAGUUGCCUACGUGUUUGCUGGAGACAAUAUGUUAUAGAUAAACACCCUGUUGCACCUUGUUUGGAAGAAUGUUAUGAAAGACAUGUCAAGAACAACUCACACAAUCCAUGAGCUCUAGUUUUACAUCUGAUUCAGUCGGAUCGAGGCUUUUUAAAGCAAUGCACGAGACUCAGAUUUAUUGCAUAGAAGUUCUCAAUUGUCUCCUUUUUCAAUUAGUUUUUUUUUUUUUUUUUUUUUUUUUUUUUUUUUUUUAUUGUGGAAUAAUAUUAAUGAUAGACACUUUACUAAAUGAUAUUUACUGUUGCGUAUUUUA